AGUGAACGCUGGCGGUAGGCCUAACACAUGUAAGUCGAACGGCAACACAGUAAGAGCUUGCUCUUACGGGUGGCGAGUGGCGGACGGGUGAGGAAUACAUCGGAAUCUACUUUUUCGUGGGGGAUAACGUAGGGAAACUUACGCUAAUACCGCAUACGACCUACGGGUGAAAGCAGGGGAUCUUCGGACCUUGCGCGAUUGAAUGAGCCGAUGUCGGAUUAGCUAGUUGGCGGGGUAAAGGCCCACCAAGGCGACGAUCCGUAGCUGGUCUGAGAGGAUGAUCAGCCACACUGGAACUGAGACACGGUCCAGACUCCUACGGGAGGCAGCAGUGGGGAAUAUUGGACAAUGGGCGCAAGCCUGAUCCAGCCAUACCGCGUGGGUGAAGAAGGCCUUCGGGUUGUAAAGCCCUUUUGUUGGGAAAGAAAAGCAGCAGGUUAAUACCCCGCUGUUCUGACGGUACCCAAAGAAUAAGCACCGGCUAACUUCGUG
rnacentral:rRNA from 1 species